AUUUAUGUAGGGUCACAUACAUUGCAUGUGCAUAAUGCUAGUUUUCUGAAAAUUCUACCUUUGUUUGUUGCACUUGCAAUCUCAAAACAGAUAAUCAUGUAUUUUUCAUUUUACAUAUGUUAUGGUGGAGCAUCAUGUAUCUGAAACUAGUUAUUUUAUGGUUUCACAGUUUGCAUUACAACCAUGAAACAUAUCUAUAGGCACCAUGGAAUCUCCAGAUGGCCAUCUCGCAAGGUCCAUAAGGUCAAUCGCUCUCUUUCCAAAUGGAUCUUCUCUUCUAUAUGUUGCAGUUGUAGGAGCAAUAUCCAUACUUGGAGGUCCUUCCGCAUCCUACUCCUGCACAGUCAAACAGCUCUUCAUUUCAGUCUAAUUGGAUACAGGAGCAAUUUGAGGAGAUGCUCAACAAAUGGAUGGAGGAGCGAGCGAUGGUAGGGACAGUCAAGAUAAAGACACGAGUUGUCGCUUAGAUGAUGGUUCAGAUUUCUCACUUGUUUGAAGUUUAGACACAUUCAAAGGGCAUGGAGAUGCCAUCUUUAGGCCAAUUUUCACAUUCUCCUCAUGAUGAUAAUGAUCCUCUAGUUGCUGAUUGACUAGACAUUUAAUAUUUUAGAUUUAACAUUUAUAUAUAUAAUGCACUUUUAUAAGUAUGCGAAGAAUUUUUAGUUAUGGUAUUUGAUAUAUUUUAAUGUAAUUGAUGGUAAACUUUAGAU